GGGGGUGUUCUGGUUUUGACAUCAGAUUAAUUGGCUGGCAAGCGUGCCGAGCGUUGGAAGCCGCACUCGUUAAUCAAUGACUUUCAGCCAUUAAUUGGCGAAAACAACUUUGCACUCGCUGCGUAAUCAGCUAAGCUGAUAGCGCUCAAUCCUUGAGGCACAAGGUGCUUCGGACGAGUAUCCCGCCAGGUGUUUUCCGUCUUCUUGGAUCUGGCAUACGGGGUAUCAUCUAAAGAAGAAUGCGGAGGAUGACUCCUUUAAGUCCUCCUAAGUUUUAAAGGAUAAGCUGCAGCUUUGCCUGCUUCAGGGCGGGGCGGCAGUCGAAAAUCAAACUGAAGAUACGCACGUAGAAAACCGGUUGGUGGUCUGGUUGGACAGCGGUUCGACUCCGCUCACCUCCACU
rnacentral:sRNA from 1 species